UACGUAGGGGGCAAGCGUUGUCCGGAUUUAUUGGGCGUAAAGAGCGUGUAGGCGGCCAUUCAGGUCAGCUGUGAAAACUCGAGGCUCAACCUCGAGACGUCGGUUGAAACCGUUUGGCUAGAGUCCGGAAGAGGAGAGUGGAAUUCCCGGUGUAGCGGUGAAAUGCGCAGAUAUCGGGAAGAACACCCGUGGCGAAGGCGGCUCUCUGGGACGGUACUGACGCUGAGACGCGAAAAGCGUGGGGAGCGAACAGGA
rnacentral:rRNA from 1 species